GGAUUGUGGCUCAGUGGUAGAGUAUUUGCCUCACAAAUAUGAGGUACUGGGUUUGACCCUCAGCACCA
rnacentral:tRNA from 1 species